GCGGAUGUAGCUCAGUUGGGAGAGCGACACCUUGCCAAGGUGUAGGUCGCCGGUUCGAGCCCGGUCAUCCGCU
rnacentral:tRNA from 1 species